rnacentral:rRNA from 1 species
UACGGGGGGAGCAAGCGUUGUUCGGAUUUACUGGGCGUAAAGGGCGCGUAGGCGGCGCAACAAGUCACGUGUGAAAUCUCCGGGCUUAACUCGGAACGGUCAAGUGAUACUGUUGUGCUAGAGUGCGGAAGGGGCAACUGGAAUUCUCGGUGUAGCGGUGAAAUGCGUAGAUAUCGAGAGGAACACCUGCGGCGAAGGCGGGUUGCUGGGCCGACACUGACGCUGAGGCGCGAAAGCGUGGGGAGCAAACAGG